rnacentral:rRNA from 1 species
UGAGGAAUAUUGGUCAAUGGGCGAGAGCCUGAACCAGCCAAGUCGCGUGAAGGAAGAAUGCGUUAUGCGUUGUAAACUUCUUUUGUCAGGGAAUAAAAAAAGGGAUGUAUCCCUUAUUGCAUGUACCUGAAGAAUAAGCAUCGGCUAACUCCGUGCCAGCAGCCGCGGUAAUACGGAGGAUGCGAGCGUUAUCCGGAUUUAUUGGGUUUAAAGGGUGCGUAGGCGGUUUAUUAAGUCAGUGGUGAAAGUUUGCGGCUCAACCGUAAAAUUGCCAUUGAAACUGGUAGACUUGAGUACAGUAGAGGUAAGUGGAAUUCGUAGUGUAGCGGUGAAAUGCUUAGAUAUUACGAAGAACUCCAAUUGCGAAGGCAGCUUGCUGGACUGUUACUGACGCUGAGGCACGAAAGCGUGGGGAUCAAACA